GACGUAGGGCGCGAGCGUUGUCCGGAUUUAUUGGGCGUAAAGAGCUCGUAGGCGGUUCUUGAAGUCCGCUGUGAAAGCCCCGGGCUUAACCUGGGAAUGGCAGUGGAAACUGGAGGACUUGAAUUGAGCAGAGGGGGGUGGAAUGCCGCGUGUAGCAGUGAAAUGCGUAGAGAUGCGGCGGAACACCGAUGGCGAAGGCAGCCCCCUGGGCUUAAAUUGACGCUGAGGCACGAAAGCGUGGGGAGCAAACAGG
rnacentral:rRNA from 1 species